rnacentral:rRNA from 1 species
CGGCGGACGGGUGAGUAACGCGUGGGUAACCUGCCUCAUACAGGGGGAUAACAGUUAGAAAUGACUGCUAAUACCGCAUAGGACCACAGCACCGCAUGGUGCGGGGGUAAAAACUCCGGUGGUAUGAGAUGGACCCGCGUCUGAUUAGCUAGUUGGUAAGGUAACGGCUUACCAAGGCGACGAUCAGUAGCCGACCUGAGAGGGUGACCGGCCACAUUGGGACUGAGACACGGCCCAA